AAACUAACAAGGAUUCCCCUAGUAGCGGCGAGCGAAGCGGGAAAAGCUCAAAUUUGUAAUCUGGCGCCUUCGGCGUCCGAGUUGUAAUCUCGAGAAGUGUUUUCCGUGAUAGACCGCAUACAAGUCUCUUGGAACAGAGCGUCAUAGUGGUGAGAACCCAGUACACGAUGCGGAUGCCUAUUACUUUGUGAUACACUUUCGAAGAGUCGAGUUGUUUGGGAAUGCAGCUCAAAUUGGGUGGUAAAUUCCAUCUAAAGCUAAAUAUUGGCGAGAGACCGAUAGCGAACAAGUACCGUGAGGGAAAGAUGAAAAGCACUUUGGAAAGAGAGUUAACAGUACGUGAAAUUGUUGGAAGGGAAACACAUGCAGUGAUACUUGCUAUUCGGGGCAACUCGAUUGGCAGGCCCGCAUCAGUUUUUCGGGGCGGAAAAUCAUAGAGAGAAGGUAGCAGUCUCGGC
rnacentral:rRNA from 1 species